rnacentral:rRNA from 1 species
AUUGAACGCUGGCGGCAGGCCUAACACAUGCAAGUCGAACGAGACCUUCGGGUCUAGUGGCGCACGGGUGCGUAACCCGUGGGAAUCUGCCCUUGGGUUCGGGAUAACAGUUGGAAACGACUGCUAAUACCGGAUGAUGUCUUCGGACCAAAGAUUUAUCGCCCAGGGAUGAGCCCGCGUCGGAUUAGCUAGUUGGUGAGGUAAAGGCUCACCAAGGCGACGAUCCGUAGCUGGUCUGAGAGGAUGAUCAGCCACACUGGGACUGAGACACGGCCCAGACUCCUACGGGAGGCAGCAGUGGGGAAUAUUGGACAAUGGGCGAAAGCCUGAUCCAGCAAUGCCGCGUGAGUGAUGAAGGCCUUAGGGUUGUAAAGCUCUUUUACCCGGGAUGAUAAUGACAGUACCGGGAGAAUAAGCCCCGGCUAACUCCGUGCCAGCCGCCGCAGUAACAC